GUGAGUCAUCGAAUCUUUGAACGCACAUUGCACUGCCUGGAAUUCCGGGCAGUAUACCUGUUUGAGUAUCAGCCAACGUCUCAAUAUGAGGAAGUGAGUUUUCAUGGGGAUGGGGGUGGCCCCUCUCAUGUUGCUUAAAAUGUAGAGUUGCUCGUAAACCACGCCUGCUGACAGAGUUGAUGGGCACUUGUGCCUGUUACUGUCUAGCGUUUGGGCAAGGCAAACAGCAGAACACUUUGAAAAUGUUUAGUAACAACUAAAAGUAUAAUGAUCUCAAAUCAGGUAAGAUUACCCGCUGAA
rnacentral:misc_RNA from 1 species